UUAAUAAUGGGUGGUCAAGCAGAAUCUUUGACUGGGAGGAUUUGAGGAGACAAGUGUUAAUGCGUGCAGACAUUCCUCCUCAGUAUGAUGUCAUUCAUGUAUGAUUCCCUUGUCUCCUCAGGCGUCCCCAUGAUUGAUGGGGGUUAGAGUCCGGCUCCCACGUCUCAUUGGUCUGUCCCAGACUCUGGACCUGAUUCUGACUGGACGCCCCAUUGGGUCACUGGAGGCCUUUGGAUUGGCUGACAGAGUGGUACUGGGUGGCCGAGGUCAUUCUACAAGGCUGCAGACAAGUUACAGACGAGUUGAAUCAGACGAAUGACGAGUUGAAUCAGACGAGUUGAAUCAGACGAAUGACGAGUUGAAUCAGACGAAUGACGAGUUGAAUCAGACGAGUUGAAGAGAGAGAUGGAGUGAUCUCUAAGAGCGAAGGAAAGCAGAGCAGGUACCAGUCUAUACAGUUGAAGUCUGAAGUUUGCAUACACCUUAGACAAGUACAUUUCAACUCAGUUUUUCACAAUUUCUGACAUUUAAUCCUAGUAAAAAUUCCAUGUUUUAGGUCAGUUAGGAUCACCACUUUAUUUUAAGAAUGUGAAAUGUCAGAAUAAUAGGAGAGUGAAUGAUUCAUUUCAGCUUUUAUUUGUUUCAUCACAUUCCCAGUGGGUCAGAAGUUUACAUACACUCAAUUAGUAUUUGGUAGCAUUGCCUUUAAAUUGUUAAAGUUGGGUCAAACAUUUCGGGUAGUCUUCCACAAGCUUCCCACAAUAAUUUGGGUAAUUUGGUUUUGUGAUGUCCACUCCAAUACCUUGACUUUGUUGUCCUUAAGCCAUUUUGCCACAACUUUGGAAGAAUGCUUGAGGUCAUUGUCCAUUUGGAAGACCCAUUUGUGACCAAGCUUUAACUUCCUGAGUGAUGUCUUGAGAUGUUGCUUCAUUAUAUUCACAGCAAAACACCCCCACAACAUGAUGCUGCCACCCCCGUGCUUCAUGGUUGGGAUGGUGUUCCUCUGCUUGCAAGCGUCCCC
rnacentral:lncRNA from 13 species